rnacentral:lncRNA from 1 species
UGCGGAGAAGGGGGUGUCCCAAAACUUCAAAGCCCAAACGACGCUUUAGAUUUUCACAGAAACGUUCCAACAGGGACGGUCCGGCCUCAAGUCCACAGGCGAGGCUCCUGGCAGGGCAGGCAGUGCUGGGGCCUUCGGGGGUGUGGUGUCUUCACUUCUAGGGGUCCUCUGACCCAGCACUGCCACGUCCAUGUGCCCCGGCUGCCUGGGAAAACCUCAGCAGGGCCAUCAAAGGAGGCCAUUGCCUACAGCCCCCCUUCCCAUGCCUGCUGGGAGCCACACAGGACCCUCCAUGGGGGGCAUCUGUCCAGGGCCCUGUGGGGCUGCUGCUGCUGCAGGACACCAUCAGCAGAGGGGUGGUGGCGGCAGGGGUGGGGACCUGGCUGCUUCCUUCCUCCAUCUCUUUACACUUUCUUCUCUCUGAGCACUGUCCCCCAGGGGACCCUGAAGCUCAGAGGCUCCCUGACCCCACAGGACCCUGUUCCUCCCGUUGGACUGUGUGACCAGAGCUUCGUCUCCUCCCCAGGUCCCCCAGGCACAUUUUCAGAGAGAAGCCCUCCCUCCCUCAUUACAGCCCCUUGCCUGGGAACUCUGAGUGUGGCUCUGGGAAUCCCACAGGGAUCGCUAUGGUGGGGUCGACGGGCCUCGAGACCAAGGCUGGCCCCUGUCUUCACAGGUGGGGAAACUGAGGCACGGGGAGGUCAAGUGCCUGAGUCUCAUACCGGUCUGGGGCAGAGACAACAGGCCUGUGGUGCUGCCCCCCAGUUCAGCGGCUUGGGUGUGAGCCGCACAUCCACCCCAGUUUUCCCUGUAGAAGCCAGGGGGAAGGGGGCCACGGUCCUCUCCGCCCGUCCCUUCACCACCUGAGCUGGAGAGAAGGGCAGUGUUUUGCUGAGAGGAGGUGGUAACUUCCACAGUCUGAGAAAGAGGGACGAGGCAUCGCUGUGGGGACAAUGGACAGGGGGUUGCGGCAGUGCAGAGACGGGCUGGGUGUAGACACAUUCCUCCUGCAGCCUGCGAGGCCCAGAAUGCCAGCAAGAACAGGGCUGUCUGCCAGC